rnacentral:lncRNA from 1 species
GUGAUUUAAUUUAGCCAGUGUUGCCAGUGCUGAGCAGUGAGCCAGCUUCACUCACACUGAGUGGUCUCCUCAACUAUAUCCCCAGAUCCCCAGUGUGUGCUUCUCCAUGGCUUAGGAGAAUUUUUUUUGUUUGGUGUUUUAGUCCAUGUAUCAUAUAUAUCACACACUGGCCUUGAAUUCCCAGUCUUCCUGCUUCAGGAGUUGCUAGGCGAGCGCUACCGUGCCCCACUUCCAAAUCUGUAAUUUACAUUGGGGUGUGCAUGCACCAUCUCCUCAUCCUCCCUUGUAGUUCUUUUAACCAAAGAAGGAAAAAAUACUUUAAAAUACUAAUAUUUUUCAGCUGCCUUAGAAAUGAAAAGCACUUCCUGUUUUUCCGGAAGAUCCAAGUUCAUUUCUCAGCAUCUACACCAGGCAACUCCAGUCCAUCACCCUCUUCUGGUCUCCACAGGCCCAGCAGAUGUGGCAUACACACACACACACACACACACACACACACACACACACACACACACACACAAAUAAAAUCUUUUUAAAAUGCUUUUAAAGCAGAUAGUUAGUGCCAGGUGUAGUGGCAUUCAGCAGCAUACCAGCAUUCAGAAGGUGAAUUUAAGAAGCUGUACACAGGGGUGGAGAGAUGGCUCAGCGGUUAAGAGCACCCGACUGCUCAAUUCCCAGCAACCACAUGGUGGCUCACAACCAUCUGUAAAGAGAUUUGAUGCCCCCUUCUGGUGUAUCUGAAGACAGCUACAGUAUACUUAUAUAUAUAAUAAAUAAAAUAAAUCUUUAAAAAAAAAAAAAA